rnacentral:rRNA from 1 species
GCCGCGGUAAUACGGAGGGUGCGAGCGUUGUCCGGAAUCACUGGGCGUAAAGGGCGCGUAGGCGGCGCGGUAAGUCCGUGGUGAAAGCCUCCAGCUCAACUGGAGAACUGCCAUGGAUACUGGCGGGCUUGAGUACAGACGAGGUUGGCGGAAUUGAAGAUGUAGCGGUGAAAUGCAUAGAUAUCUUCAAGAACACCGAUUGCGUAGGCAGCUAACUAGGCUGUAACUGACGCUGAGGCACGAAAGCGUGGGGAGCGAACAG